rnacentral:rRNA from 1 species
AGUUAACGCUAGCGGCGUGCUUCAGGCAUGCAAGUCGAACGAGAAAGUUUCUUCGGAAACGAGUAUAGUGGCGCACGGGUGAGUAACACUUAGUUAACCUACCUUUUCGCUGGGGAUAACUGGAGGAAACUCCAGCUAAUACCGAAUAUACCGUAAUUGUCCAUGGAUUUUUACGGGAAAGCCUUUGGCGCGAAAAGAGGGGACUGAGUCCCAUUAGCUUGUUGGUAGGGUAAAAGCCUACCAAGGCGACGAUGGGUAGCUGGUCUGAGAGGAUGUCCAGCCACACUGGAACUGAAACACGGUCCAGACUCCUACGGGAGGCAGCAGCUAGGAAUAUUGCGCAAUGGGGGAAACCCUGACGCAGCAACGCCGCGUGAGUGAUGAAGGCCUUAGGGUUGUAAAGCUCUUUUAAUAGGGAAGAAAAAAAUGACGGUACCUAUAGAAAAAGCACCGGCAAACUUCG